CGUAACACCCUGUAUUAGCUCCAUAUUGACUCUGUACCGGUACCCCCCUGUAUAUAGCCUCCAUAUGACUCUGUACCGGUACCCCCUGUAUACAUGAUGAAAAUUACAGGCCUCUCAUCUUUUUAAGUGGGAGAACUUGCACAAUUGGUGGCUGACUAAAUACUUUUUUGCCCACUGUAUAUUGUUGUUCAGUGUCCAUAACCUGUAGUGGGUGAAUACACGCAAUCCCAUCAGGGCGGUCUAUGCCGUUCUGGCGACCUAGGAGGGACUAAACUGGCAACAAAAUGUGCUCACUGCAAAACUAGAAUAGUCCCAGGAACCAAAUGACAUUGACAUGACAGAAAAUACUAUUUUCCAGAUGUUGAAGUUUAGGCUCUGAAUAAAAGGUGAAGACAUCAUUUACAGGACAUUGAAAAGGAGUCUUUUCCGGAUGUUGAAAUCAGGUUCAUUUCAGUUCUGAAUGUAAGUCUAUAAAUUACAUAUUUCAACAUUUGUUUGUGCCAAUCAGGGAUUAUCCAGACCGCGCCAAUCUGAACCAAACAGACAUCUUGAUUGGUUCAGAUUUUUGUCCAGACUGGAGCAAAAACCAAUGUCUGUGGAUGUGGAAUUUAGGCAGGUUCAGACUACACCAGAAAAAGACAUCCAAAGACAUUGGUAUGUCCAUGCUUACUGAGGUGUAGCCUACAGUGUUGCCUGACAUGUAAUUUUAUAAAUGCAUAUCUGUUGUAAGCCUACCGCCUGUAAACACCAGCAACAAAAUAGAGGUCUGGACAGGACCAAAAAAAAAGACCUCGUGCUUCCUGGGGUGUAGCCUACCAUGUCGGCCUCAAUGCCAUUUAUUGAAUGCCAAUCCAUGUGGUAGGCCACCAUUGUAAAACAGGGACUAAUCAACGUGUCUAUUUAUGCUCUGAAUGUCAGCUACCCAACUUUAUCAGGAGCUCUUUGAGCCUAUUUAGCGUUACUUCUCCAACAUACUCUGGAGAGGAGCGCGGCUGCGUUUACGUCUCCCAACAAUACUCUGGAGGAGCGCGGCUGCGUUACGUCUCCAACAAUACUCUGGAGGAGCGCGGCUGCGUUACGUCUCCAACAAUACUCUGGAGAGGAGCGCUGGGAGUGGACAUUACUUAUCACAAAGCGGUAUCAACGCUCACCUAAAAAGCCAAUAUGCCACUGGUUGAAAGAAACUGCCACURGUUUUGGGCAUUUGGAGGUGCGUCUUGGUCAGUUAAGCUCAGAAAAUGCCGCGGUGAAUAAAAUGAAUGGUGAACUUCUCGAUGUGGCACAAAACACACACCUAACGUGAAGGGAAGUGGUGAGCAAAGYGCCUGCAGGAGGGCAGCUACGUUACAGACAGCCUGCUAGUAUGUACUGUAGCUAGAUAGCCUAACAUUGCACCACUCGGUAGAUAAACUCUUUCAGCUGAAWAAUAUUUCCAUCAAAAAAGGCUCGCUAGCAACACGAUGUUUGAAUACACUAUCAAAAGUACAUGAAGUUGUACUUGUUCUAAACGUUUAUACCAUAUGUACAUUUCCCCCACCGGGGAACACAUACCUGGAAACUCCCGCUGCUGACUUGAAGGUACUGCAGCCAGGCUAGAGCAAUACAUUACAGAGCAGUCGAUACUCACACUAUGGAUAUGGAAAAAAUAACUAAAACUAAUGAAAGGAUUUAGGUGAAAUACACAAGACAAUAUUAAUACCCGCUAUGCCUAUGAAUCUGAUAGUGAUUACAUUACUCCAGCCUCACAUCAUGGGGAGGACACUGUGUUAUUGUUUCUACUGCUGAUUGUCGCUUUGAGGUGCAUGUCGCCCCCUACUGUGCUGGAGUGUGUGGCCGAUCACGGUUUACAUUAACUUGACAUUGGCAGAGAAGAAAUACAAACAUACACCUACAUUCUCCUACCUUACUCUGCACUACUUGUAAACCAACCCCUUGAAUCACACUGUGCUCUAUAUUUGGACUUUUAUUUGACAAGCUUUCCAUCCUCACUGUAUAUUUGACAGUUUAGUGUGACUUUUAUUUAUUUWGAGUUUUUUUGCCUCCCCUGUUUUUACCAGCAAAGGGCAUAUGGGAAACGGGAGCGAGAGGAAAAAGAAAAAUCACUUUUUUGUUAAGGUUGUUUAAGCAUCCAACCAACAACAUCAACCUUAGCACCUAGCUGGAAAGAGAACAAGGUAUUUUACUGUGUUUCAGUAGUGGUCUUGUUUCAGAAAUCUUUCUAAUUCUUUUGAAUGUGUACUGAACGGAUAUUUUUGUUGUAAUUGAUUUAUUUUAUUUUUAUUAACAACAAAUCAAUACAUAAAGCACAUGAGGGAACACAAGCAUACAUAGAUUACAAAAACAAUGGACAAUCGAGCUAGGGGCGGGGCGGGGCGGGCUGGGCA
rnacentral:lncRNA from 1 species